CCUCUCAGCCUUCUCUUGUGGAGGCUGAACAGGUUCAGGUCCCAUAGCCUUUCCUCACAGGACCUGCCCUGCUGCUCCCUGACGAUGCGAGUGGCCCUCCGCUGGACCCUCUCGAAGCUGGCCACAUCCCUCCUGAAGUGCAGC